rnacentral:tRNA from 1 species
GCGCGCGUGGCGGAAUGGCAGACGCGCCAGACUUAGGAUCUGGUUCCGUAAGGAGUGGAGGUUCAAGUCCUCUCGCGCGCACCA